rnacentral:rRNA from 1 species
AGUGAACGCUGGCGGUAGGCCUAACACAUGCAAGUCGAACGGCAGCACAGGAGAGCUUGCUCUCUGGGUGGCGAGUGGCGGACGGGUGGGGAAUACAUCGGAAUCUACCUUUUCGUGGGGGAUAACGUAGGGAAACUUACGCUAAUACCGCAUACGACCUUCGGGUGAAAGCAGGGGACCUUCGGGCCUUGCGCGGAUAGAUGAGCCGAUGUCGGAUUAGCUAGUUGGCGAGGUAAAGGCCCACCAAGGCGACGAUCCGUAGCUGGUCUGAGAGGAUGAUCAGCCACACUGGAACUGAGACACGGUCCAGACUCCUACGGGAGGCAGCAGUGGGGAAUAUUGGACAAUGGGCGCAAGCCUGAUCCAGCCAUACCGCGUGGGUGAAGAAGGCCUUCGGGUUGUAAAGCCCUUUUGUUGGGAAAGAAAAGCAGUCGGUUAAUACCCGGUUGUUCUGACGGUACCCAAAGAAUAAGCACCGGCUAACUUCGUG